GCGCUGUCAGAGCGUCGGAGCCUGGACGGCCCUUGCAGAUGAGAGGGGCCUGUCCCUCCUCCUUGGUUUCAAGGAGAGGAGAGCAGGCCUCAGAGAGGGGCAGCGACUGGGCCAAGGUCACACAGCGAGUUGGUGGGGGCCCCAGGACCCUGGCAGGGACCCUUGUGAUGACACUGGGCCGGCCCAGGUAAUCCAGGACGAUCUCCGUCUCGAGAUCCUUGGCUGAGUCACACCCGCAAAGCCCCUUUCCCACGUCACGUUCGCAGGUGGCGGGGUCAGAGCGUGGACAUCUCUGGGAGCCACUGUUCAGCCUUUACGUCAAAUAAACAAGGUGGGGAGGUGGCGAAAGUUCCGGGUUGGGAAGGAACGUCACAGACCAGCUGUGUGGCUCCAGCCGUCUCCUGGCCUCCCUGGGCCUGGUACACACGGGCCUGCUCUCUGCCGGGCGACAGCUCCAGCUGUGGUGUGUGCAGCAUCCAUUCUCUUUUCACUGGUCACAGCUCCUCUGUUCUCCGGGGGAACAGUCCGUCUCUGGCUCUCAGUCCAGGUGCUGCACGUGGAUGUGAACAUCCUCUCCUCUCCAGUCAAGGAUGAGCAAGGGGCGAGCCUGGCCCAUCAGCGUGGGUCAUGACCUUGGCGGGGCCAGUGGUGAGAGCUUUACCUGGAAAUUGGGCCAGGCUCUCUUUCUUCGAGGUGGCGAAGCCAGCAGAAUGAAACCUGGAGCUGCUGGUGGUCGUCCUGCCUCCAGAUAGGAAGACCUUGCUUGAGAGUAGAUCUAUAGAGAAGAAAACAGACUAAGAAGCAGAGGAAGGCCAAUUCCUAUUGACCUUGAGCACCUGGGUCCAGCUGUACCUGAAGCUGGACAGGCCCUGAAAUUUUCAGAUACUGAGAUGAUAAAUCCCCCUUUUGGCUUCAGCCAGCUUGAAUUGAGUUUGUAAUUCUUGCUACUAAGAGUCCUGACUGGUGCUCCCUUCUUCAAUUUGGGCCACUCAGCCCAAUAUCGCAGAAUUAACAUGCCAUUUUGCAUGUAGGCACCAACCUCAUGGGGGCCUCGCUUGCCUGCCUUCCUCUCCCUCCUCUUCCCCUGCCAGCUAUGCUGUUGGGUGAUACAUCGUAAUGUAUAUUUAACAGUGGCUCAAAAUCGAAUUAAUUUAGAUCGGUUAAUA
ensembl:lncRNA